AUAAAAAUACAUCAUAAUCUUCAUUAUGUACAAAGAUUCCAAAUAAAACAUCUAACUUUUUCCAUGGAUGAAAGAAUCGUAGAUAGGGCCUGGUGUUGGUUCUGCAAUAUUGAAUUGCCCAACAUCAAUACAUACUGAACAUCCAUACGAGGAACAACAAUCAACAUAUGAAAUAGUCAAGGAACUGUGUACAUCUAGUAAGAAGACCACUAAGAACAAUCUUGGAGAACUGUUGCAGUGAAAACUGAGAAGGGAAUGGGCACUGAGAACCAAGGGAGUGAUUUAUAACUCAGUUGUAACUGAGGAAGGACCAAAUUUUGAGAAGCAGUUACCAGUGUCUAAUGCUGUAGAAAAGCUGGUCAGAAUGAGUAUUAAGAAAUAAAUUAUUGCUUUUGAAAA